GUUGAAAAGAACCUUUGAAGAGAGAGUUCAAGAGGGCGUGAAACCCGUUAAAAGGGGUAAACGGUUGGGGUCCGCGCAGUCCGCCCGGAGGAUUCAACUCGGCGGGUCGUCUGGUCGGCCGUCCCGGGUCCCGUCGGAUCCCCUCGCGGGACCGCGGCCCGGCCGGGCUCGGCCCCCGCCGGGCGCAUUUCCUCCGCCGGCGGUGCGUCGCGACCGGCUCCGGGUCGGCCUGGAAGGGCUCGCGGUGUGGAAGGUGGCCCGCCUCGCCCCCCCCUCCCCCUCGGGGUGAGGGGGUCCGGCAGGCGGGUGUUACACCCCCCCCCCCACCACCUCGCCGCUUCCCGGGGCCGAGGGAGAUGACCCGUCACCGUGCCUUCCCUCCGCCCCCCCGGGCUCCCCCUGACGGGGUGCGCCCGGCGGCCCGGGCGAGGGACGGGGCCGCCGCGCCCCGGCGCGACUGCCGACCGGGCCGUACUGUCCCCAGUGCGGCCCGACCGCGUCGCGCCGCCGCGCGCGGAUCCACGGCCCACGACCGGCACCAGGGGUCCGCGGCGAUGUCGGCUACCCACCCGACCCGUCUGGCACCAGGGGUCCGCGGCGAUGUCGGCUACCCACCCGACCCGUCCUUAAACACGGACCAAGGAGUCUAACGCGCGCGCGAGUUAGAGGGUACCCCGAAACCCCGUGGCGCAAUGAAGGUGAGGGCCGGCGCGUGCCGGCUGAGGUGGGAUCCCGGCCCGUCCCCCGCGGCGGCCGGGCGCACCACCUGCCCGUCUCGCCCGCCCGUCGGGGGGGUGGAGCAUGCGCGCGCGCUUGGUACCCGAAAGAUGGUUGAACUAUGCCUGGGCAGGGCGAAAGCCACAGGGGGAACCUCUGGUGGAGGUCCCGCAGGCGGUCCUGACGCGCAAAUCCGGUUCGUCCGACCGGGUAUUAGGGGCGAAAGACUAUCGGAACACCAUCUAGUAGCUGGGGGGCGAAAGACUAAUCGAACCAUCUAGUAGCUGGUUCCCUCCGAAAUUUCCCUCAGGAUCGCCGAAGUUCGCAAAGCAGUUUCAUCAGGUAGAGCUAAUGAUUAGAGGAAUUGGGGCUAUUCGUAGCCUCGACCUAUUCUCAAACUGCAAACUGGUGAGAUGGCUACUGUUGCUUAAUUGAACAGUAGUAGAGAAUGCGAGAGCUUCGAGUGGGCCAUUUUUGGUAAGCAGAACUGGCGAUGCGGGAUGAACCGAGAGUUGGGUUAAGGGGCCCAAGUACGCGCAAAUGGACACCAUAAAAGGAGUUGGUAGAUGCAGACAGUAAGACUGUGGCCUUGAAAGUAGGCACCAGCUAAGGAGUGUGCAACAACUCACUUACCGAAUCUACUGGCCCUGAAAAUGGAUGGCGCUAUAGCGCGUCCCCGAUACCCAACCAUGAUAUUGAGAAAUGAUGUCAUGGGUAGGAGGGUGUGAUGGUUGCCUCGAAGAAAGCGCGUGAGCACUUUUGGAGCGGCCAUCAGUACAGAUCUUGGUUUUAGUAGCAGCUUAUAGAAGUGAGAACCUUCUAGGCCGAAGUGGAGAAGGGUUCCGCGUGAACAGCAAUUGGACGCGGGUUAGUCGGUCCUAAGCAGAAGCUCACAAGCUGAAGCAAUAGGGGACGUAUCGUAACUAGCGUGUUCUGCACGCAUUACGCCGUCUCAGUCUGCGAAAGGGAAUCAGGUUAAUAUUCCUGAACCAGACGAUGGAUAGCUGAUGGUGUUGUGUGUACCAACAGCAAGUAAUGCUGGGUCAAACUGAUGUUAUUUGUUGACAUGCGAUGCUAUCAGUAAAGCGGUAACGCAAACGAACUCGGUGACGUCAUUGGCAGUUCUGGGAAGAGUUGUCUUUUCUGUUUAACCAGCAUAAAUGACCCUGGAAUAGAGUCAUUCGGAGAUAGGGUUAGUGGCUGGGAAGAGCGUCGCAUUUCUUGUGGCGUCUGGAUUAUUGCCAAUGACCCUUGAAAAGCCGAGGGAGUGAAUGAUUAUCACGUCUGACCGUACCGAGAUCCGCAUCAGGUCUCCAAGGUGAAUAGCCUCUGGCUCUAGAACAAUGUGGGUAAGGGAAGUCGGCAAAAUAGAUUUGUAACUUUGGGAAAAAGAUUGGCUCUAAGGAUUGGGCUUGUCGGACUAACUUGCCAUUUGAUGGGCGUCAGAGCAAUGAGUAUUAUCGAGUUGUUGGUAGCAAUACUGAUGAUGAGGUGGUAUUUGUUAUCUGUCGUAUUGUCUUAUGGUAUUUAGUUUGUGUGGUCGGUAUGUUAACUCUUGAGCUGAUAUACUAACUGCACCUAGCGGCAGGCUAAAAUCAAUCAACUUAGAACUGUCACUGACUAGGGGAAUCCGACUGUUUAAUUAAAACAAAGCAUUGCGAUGGCUGGAAACGGUGUUGACGCAAUGUGAAUUCUGCCCAGUGCUCUGAAUGUCAAAGUGUGGUGACACAACCAAGCGCGGGUAAACGGCGGGUGUAACUAUGACUCUCUUAAGAUAGCCAAA
rnacentral:rRNA from 1 species